rnacentral:rRNA from 1 species
AUUGAACGCUGGCGGCAUGCCUUACACAUGCAAGUCGAACGGCAGCGCGGGUGCUUGCACCUGGCGGCGAGUGGCGAACGGGUGAGUAAUACAUCGGAACGUGCCCUAGAGUGGGGGAUAACUAGUCGAAAGAUUAGCUAAUACCGCAUACGAUCUACGGAUGAAAGUGGGGGACCGCAAGGCCUCAUGCUCCUGGAGCGGCCGAUGUCUGAUUAGCUAGUUGGUGGGGUAAUGGCCUACCAAGGCGACGAUCAGUAGCUGGUCUGAGAGGACGACCAGCCACACUGGGACUGAGACACGGCCCAGACUCCUACGGGAGGCAGCAGUGGGGAAUUUUGGACAAUGGGGGCAACCCUGAUCCAGCAAUGCCGCGUGUGUGAAGAAGGCCUUCGGGUUGUAAAGCACUUUUGUCAGGAACGAAACGGUGGGGGCUAAUACCUCUUGCUAAUGACGGUACCUGAAGAAUAAGCACCGGCUAACUACGUG